CGCUCUUGACUUUAGCUGCUGUUCGGUCUGAAGCUGGAUUGCAGGGACAAGCUGCGGGAGCAAGAAACAGAGGAGGACGGGCUCGGAGAUGAGCAGCGCCGCCAUGGCGAUGGAGGCAACUACACCUACGGGGCUCGGAGAUGAGCAGCGCCGCCAUGGCGAUGGCGGCAACUACACCUACGGGGACCUGGGGGAGCGAUGCUUCGGCCCCGUCGGCAGGCACUUCACGGAGGCCAUCAUCGUCCUCUGCCAGACCGGCGGCACCGUGGCGUACCUCGUCUUCAUCGGCCAGAACAUCAGCUCCGUGCUCCCCGCGCUCUCGCCGG
rnacentral:lncRNA from 1 species